AUUUGAGUAGCUUAAUUUUAAAGCGUAAUAUUGAAGCUAUUAUGAUAAGGUUUUACCUUCUUAAAUA
rnacentral:tRNA from 2 species